CAACAAAACUUAACAUCCUUGGGAUCUAUAUUUUUUGCUCUGACAUCUGUAAUCACCUCACUAUUAUUAGAGUAUCUUUAUUAAAAUUUCCCAAUUUGUGCUAAUAACGAGACUUUUAAAGUGUUCUUCAAUAAGUCAAUCUCAGAACUCACUUUUAAUAUUUUUUAAGUGCUGGAGGGAAAAAAAAACUUGAAUAUGGAGGUAGAAGACAAAGUUAUAAUUGCUAAUCCAAAUAAAUAAAAUACGAUGUACGUAACUUUAAAAAAAUCGUAACAAUCUUUUGUUUGUGUUUUCCGGCCGUUCUCCACGUUUGCUACACUACUAUUUCAGUAAUCUUAAUAAUUCUCUGAAGAAGACAAUGUUUUCAUAGUGUUCGACUAGAUAGACUGAGAGUCACACAUUUUAUUUUUGUUUUGUGACAUUUGUGGCUCUUCAGCGUGACACUGGCAUUCUUCCUCCUCUGAUGCAACUUCCUUCUCUGUUUCACUCUGUUUUGGUCGAGGUUGUUUCAACCUCCCCCCUUCUCUGUGCAGUCUUUCAGCCGGACCAGGAGAGCCCGAGCUGUCGCUUUGUUUUCUGAACAUCCACUUCUGUUUCCUGUGGCAACACCUGCAGAUAAAUACGUAGCUGGCUACCCAAACGGACACUGCCCGCACCCCCCAGACGCUCUCCUCCGCAGGCCCGCGCAGACCCAGGUAUGCGCGCACAUGCGUGCUCAGCUCCUCCACCCUCCCCCCGGGGAGCUCAGAGGACUCCAGCUGUUUUCCGGCCCUGGCAGCAGAAGCGGCUGCAGAGCCUCUAAUGUUCCUUCUCUGGAACCGGCGCUGAUCGUGCUGCUGCUGCUGCCGCCAGAGAAGGAUUUAAGUCACCUGGACUGAGGAGAAGACCGCUGAACCGUGUCAAGACGGUGGAGCCAGAUACUUCAGGCUAUUUGAAGCCAUCAGAGGGGAAGGAACCAGACUUGGGGUUCCUCCGCCCGAAGCGUGUUGCCCGCAUUGUUGACAACCACGUACUGAUAUUUCAAGACUCAGCUCAAGCAUAAUAAUCUCUUUCUGAAGCUUUUCCUGAUAGGCUGCCUGGCCCUUCUAUACCUGUAACAUCGUUAUUUCAUUUAGUUAUCAUUGGAAAUGAAGAGCCCACUGUGAUGGUGUGAGGAUGCCCCCCCCCCUCCCGCCCCCAAACAUGUGAAAAUAACUCAGCAAAAAACAGAGCAGCUGCCUGGUCAUCUUCCCCAUCACUGGGAUUUCUUUAGGUAACCAAUAAAUAGGAGCAUAGAGUUGGUAGAGGGAGCCAAUGUUUCCAGAAGAAACCGUGCCACUCCAAAGGAAAAUUAGAAAAGGAGAAAGUGACCCUUGAAUAAAGAAGAGUUUAUGCAUUUAAAGACCCCUCUCCGGGAUUCUUGGCAGGAAGAGUUCACUUUCCUGCUGCAUCAGGGAUUGGAAGGCUAUUCCUCUGUCCAUGGUCCUAUUCCUCUGCUUCAAACAACUUUAGAAGAAUCCAGAGGGAGGUUCAAAUCUGCAAUGUAGAAAAGCAUUGAAGUGUUCUAGAUACAGCUGAGAAGCUGAGAGAAGACGGAAUUUGUGGGUAUAGCAGAUCUUUGGAAUCUUUGAAAAGAAGUUCUGUCGGCAGUAGAUCCCACCAGCAGAAGGGGAUCCUGCUGGACAGCCAUUCUUUUCAAUAUUGAUGAACAGCAUCUAUCCGUGGAGUGAGCUCCACUUGAGCUGAAGCCUGCUUGGUAAGAAUGACACUAUCAUCUCCCUAACAUUUCAUAUUCUGAAAGAAAGCCCUUCCCAUUCCUGAUGCUUCUCAUCAUUUUUUCCCAACACUCCAGUAAGACCAGUCAACAUUCACCUGUGCUUUUAUAGCGGUGAAGAGAGACUGACAAACUCAGUGACUCAACUGAGAAAGAUAUUUUAUGGGCAGCCCAUGGUAGUCGCCUCUCUUUUAAAAAGAAACAACAUUUUUUGAGAUCCCAGGAGGUGUCUGGCACUACACGAAGUGGUAUGAGCAUGAGAGUGCAGAACAUAAUGUUUGGGAACAUAAUGUUCCUCCGGGGACUUAAAAAUUAAUGCAGAUCCAAAACUGUUUAAAAAAAUGUGGGUUGUAAUAAAUUAUGGGAAAACAAAGUGAAAGGUGUAGGGGCAAAAAUCCCAAGCAUAGUGAUGAACUAGAGAACAUGGAAAUGGAAUAUGAUGAGCCAAUUAACCUCAGGAGAACAGAGACUCCAUGGUAUGGGCAGAAUACAAGACACUUAUCUUGAGAAGUCAAUUUUGCAGGCUCAGUUACUUGUCCACACACACAAGAUCAAUAGCUAUUUCUGAUAGGCUGCUGGCAAAAAAAAAAAAAAAAUACUGUUCUUUUCUAUAGAUGGAGUCUAAACCAUCCAGCAUACAAUAAAGGGUUUAAGAGAAAAAAUAUAUGUGGGCUGGCAAUCUUUCAAUCUGUAAGGCUGGUGAUCUAGUUUUGGGUGAUAGCUCUAAUGGAAAUAGGUGCAAUUGGGUUUGUAGAUACUGAUUUUUAUCAGCAACCAGAAACUGUGCUAAAAGCUCAAUUUGGCCUACUUUAGGUUCCCCGGCGAAGUUAGCGAGGGAAUUUUCAUUAGGUUAUUUGAAGAAUAAGAAGAAAUAAAGCAAUGCAUGAACACCGUGAUAUGUAGGUGAGAAGGUAUCUUAAUAGAAAUAGUACUCUAGUCUAGAACAGUGUUUCCCCACCAAGGUGAUGGAAAGUACUGGGAAAUGCAGAGACCUAACUUGUGCUCAGACUGAGCUUUCUUCAUUGCCCCGGCUUUCCAGUUUUAAUAACUUCAGCCUUGCUAACCUGCCAGUACUAGGGAAGUCAGUUUCAUGUACUGAUGUCAGCCUCUAAUUUGAACUCCCUCAUGGUCAUUGCAACUUUGUUCACUUUUGUAAUUAUUUUUUCACAUUUUCUUGUUUUAUAGCAAUACGGAAAGAUAAAAAUACCUAGAAAUGUUUUUUUUUUCCAAUGUUGAAGGGAAUAAUUUAGACAGUCACUUCCACAUGGAUAUCUAAUAGGCAUCUCAAACUGAGUACGGCCAAAAGAGAAGUCUUGAUUCUUUCUCUUAAUCUUCUUGAAUCAAACAACCCCAAGAGGCUUAAAUAGAGUUUUACUUUUUUCAUAAAGAGAUGUCUGGAAAUAGGUUAUUUCUGGUGUUAAUUCAGCUGCUCAACUACACCAUCAAGGACCUAGGUAGUUUCUCUUUUUUCCUGUCGCUAUCCUUAACAUGUUGGCCUUUAA